CUGAAAAUGAGUUUAAAACAGUUAAAAUUAAAUAAGGAAACAAAAAUACCAACUGGUUAAAGGUCAUUUAGAUGAUGUAACAGUAAAGGUUGACUUAACAAAGGGAAAAAAAGAAGCAACUAGAUAUCAUUGAACAACAAAGGCCAACUUGGAGGACCAACAAAGGGAAAAGGCGAAGAGAUGAAAAUCUAAACCUAAAAGGUCAAAAACUGUUGAAAUUGUCAAACAACCUUUGUAAAAAGAUAUUAGAUUAUCUUUGGUAACAGAUUGAACCAAAGUCAUUAAGUAAUCUGAUGAAAAUGAUUUCCUUAAUUAUACUCAACAGAUUGAGCCUAAUGUGAAUAUUAAUCGAUGUUGAUGGCUAUUUCGGUGAGUUGAUGAGUCCAAGUGUCAGUCAACACUGAGAGUGUCAAAGGUUAAUUGUGUUUAACUUUUACUUUAAUACAAAUAAACAUGAUCUUAUACACUUAAAUAAUCUAUGCCAACGGGGAUUGCGUGAUUUCAAACAAUCAAAAAUCAAAAGUGACACUUGAACCAUUAAAGCUCAAAAGCAAACCAUUUUUUGUUUUAGGAUAAAGAGGAACCCAAAAGAAGAAGAAAAAGAAGAGCAAAAAUUGCCGAAAGCGCUUUUAUAUGGAACCAAAUAUGACAAGCUCAGUGAACUGAAGAUGAAAAUGUGAAUAAGAAGAAGACAAUUAAGUUUUUUGUUUCAGUGAUAAAUAGGAUGAAGGAUGAUGAAGGAAGCAAAAUGUUACAUCAAUUUGUUUCGUCUAAUGUUGUGCCUUUAAUGUGAUCAACUAAUAGGUUUCCAUAUUGUUUUCACUCUUCAACAU